UGGGGAAUUUUGGACAAUGGGCGAAAGCCUGAUCCAGCAAUGCCGCGUGUGUGAAGAAGGCCUUCGGGUUGUAAAGCACUUUUGUCCGGAAAGAAAUCCUUGGCUCUAAUACAGUCGGGGGAUGACGGUACCGGAAGAAUAAGCACCGGCUAACUACGUGCCAGCAGCCGCGGUAAUACGUAGGGUGCAAGCGUUAAUCGGAAUUACUGGGCGUAAGCGUGCGCAGGCGGUUUGCUAAGACCGAUGUGAAAUCCCGGGCUCAACCUGGGAACUGCAUUGGUGACUGGCAGGCUAGAGUAUGGCAGAGGGGGGUAGAAUUCCACGUGUAGCAGUGAAAUGCGUAGAGAUGUGGAGGAAUACCGAUGGCGAAGGCAGCCCCCUGGGCCAAUACUGACGCUCAUGCACGAAAGCGUGGGGAGCAAACAGGAUUAGAUACCCUGGUAGUCCACGCCCUAAACGAUGUC
rnacentral:rRNA from 1 species